GACUUUCACCUUCAAAUGAUACAGGAAGUGAAGCAACAGCACAGAAUAUCAAAGAGGACAAUAUCUAUGAAGAAAUAGAGGAGCAUUUCCAGAGUCCAGGCUCAGAAAAUGCCACAAACACGGUUUAUCUCACCGUCGAUCAUCCUACAAACCAUCCUGCCUCACUCCAUUAUUCCACCAUCAACUUUCCGAUCAGCUCUGACAUAGCUGCUGCUGAGACACUGAUCCUCACACCCAGCUCAUCUGCCUGCAAAUAUUCGACUGUGAAGCACAGCAGGAGUCUGACUACGUCGACUGCCACACACCCACCCAGACCUCCACAGGAGCCUCUCUACUCAAAAGUCAACACGUUGAAGCCAAAACAGAAAUAAGACUCUCACUCAUGAAAUCCACCCCUCACCACCUCACACACACCUCAGCUGGAGCCAUCCAAACCUCAGUCUUCAUCCUCAGAUCCACCACCUAGACUCUGGGGGGUCCUGUCCCAAAUCUUAUCACUGCUGGGAUUGUGUUCUGCCAUGAUGGGCUGUUGGAGUCUCACUGCCAAAUACAAUCAUUUCUCUAUGUCAGUAAAUCAUGUUCUUUUAAAUUAAAUCUCCUUAUUGAAACACUUUUGAGACAUUAUUUGAGUGCUUAAUCUCCUCUCUGACACAUCCCUGGUAUCCUUUUAACAAUCCCACAGACUGUACAUAUAAACAAUUCACAAACCAUUUCAGCAUUUGUCUUCACUAGUGCCAAUAUUGAAUGAUUUGCAUUUUACAGGGAUCACAGAAAAACCUCUGCUAGAGGUUCAGAUUAGUUGGUAUUUUUUUACUGGGGAGAAUGAAACAGAUGUGCUGUGGGCGCAAAUUUUCAGGACAUUUGAGGUUAAUUUAAACACAACAAGAUGUCCAUCUCAUUGUU